AAGACUUUAGCAAGAUAGAGAGUAAAGAGGGCCAUAACUCCCAUCCUUGCCUAAAUCCAUACAUAGUUAUCUGGGAUAGAUUUGCACUGUGUACAGUUGGAACCGUAUUGGCUGCUAUAAUAGGAU